AUAUUUUUAAAGGUGUUUCAAAUCGGACUGUGACCGACCUCCAGCUCGGCUUCGUCUGAUCUCUCCACCUCAGAUUUUAAGCCUCGUAGCAACACUUAUAGAAUACCUAUUGUCAUGGAUUGUGAUAGAGUUUUGGUCAUAGAUUUUGGUAACAACAUGUUUAUCAUUUCUUUCACAACAUGGUUCUUUACAUCGAUUGCAAUGCUAAUGAAAAUGAGUAAAUCAUACACUUUACAAUAAAUAUUCAUAGGUUUGUCUCU
rnacentral:lncRNA from 1 species